AUGCACCACCCUGGGAACGCCCAGUAUACAGGAACUUUUGUUCUUUAUAAGCUUACCAUUGUUAGUUUUUAUAGUUUUUGUUUGUACCCUAAAUUUCUGCUAAGUUUCCAAAUUGAAUGUCUCAUAACUUCUGUUUUCUUCAUCUCUAACAACUGGAUUAAAAUAAAAUGUGGCUGCUUUUUUGUCUUUUGUUGUUGUUCUCAGGAAAGUCAUAUCCCAAAACUCAUUACACCUGCAGAAAAAGGAAGACAUUUAGAAUCACGACUCAUAGAAGCAUAUGUUAUUCAGUGUCAGGCCAAAGCUCAAGAAGUAACAAUUGCUUGAGCAAUUGAACUAAAACAUGCUCCUGGACUAAUUGCUGCACCGGCGUAUGAAACAGCCAAUUUCUAUAAAAAAGCUGAUCAUACUUUAUCCAGUUUGGAGCCUGCAUAUUCUUCUAAAUGGAGAAAAGAAAAUAUCUUCACUUGAAGAUGUGUUUCUACACAGCUUAUGCUUACUGUUAUCAUGGUCAGACUUUAUUGGCUAGUGAUAAAUGUGGUGAAGCAAUCAGGUCUCUUCAAGAAGCAGAAAAAUUAUAUGCAAAGGCAGAAGCACUGUGUAAAGAAUAUGGAGAAACCAAAGGACCUGGACCAACAAUCAAACCUUCAGGACAUCUGUUCUUUAGGAAGCUUGGAAACCUUGUGAAGAACACCCUAGAAAAAUGUCAGAGAGAAAAUGGAUUUAUUUACUUUCAAAAAAUUCCAACAGAAGCCCCACAGCUGGAACUCAAAGCAAAUUAUGGUCUCGUAGAGCCUGUAUCUUUCGAAUUUCCUCCUACAAGUGCUCAGUGGACACCAGAAACAUUGGCUGCAUUUGAUCUCACCAAAAGACCCAAGGAUGACAGUACUAAACCCAAACCAGAAGAAGAAGGAAAACCUGUAAAAGAACCAGAUAUCAAACCUCAAAAGGACACUGGGUGCUAUAUCUCCUAAAAUACAGUUUGCACUUUGAAUUUCUCUAGCCGUAGAUAAGAUAAACCACAAAA